AUGAUCCAGCAGGGACUCAGGUCGUUUCUACUGGCACUCUGUGUCCUGGUCUGUACCGGUAUGGCCCUGGACUGUGACUGGGACCAGUCGAUUGAUCCCAAUCAGGGUUUGGCCCCGGCCUCCAUGGACUCCGCAGGGAUCCACCUGGACCAGAUGAAGGAAGUCUCGGACCCGGAGAGCUGCCGAACUGCGUGCUGCAACGUGUGCGUCCUCCAGCACAGCACCCAGUUCAACGUCUACCGCAAGAGCCGGACCACGGAGACCCGUAGAGAGGGCGGGGAGAGUCCUCACCUCGUCCCACUGCUGGCAUCCACCGAGACCAACGAGACCAACAACAGUAAGACAAGAAAAGCCGAUUAUUGAUGAUCGAUUGAUUUAAAGUCUAAAAUACCUCUACCGGAUAUUAAAGUACUCAGAGCAAGUAUUAGAUAUCAAUUCUGAGAAGAUUUGAUUAUUGAUUACUUGAUCACUGUGUCAAAUAUCUGUCAGUAAAACCCCAAACAGAGUUUCAUUGUUAGAAACUGAAGGAAUAUUUAAUCAAUAAUCGAUAAUAGACAUUUUCCACAGCAGUAAACAAAGGAAGAAAAGGCUAUAAAUAUAAAAUAGUAUAAACAUUUUAAAUAUUAUUUAAAAAAGGAUUUAAACAUUAUUUUAAAAAUUAUUCAAAUAUUAUUUGAAAAUCAUUUAAAUAUUAUUUGAAAAUCAUUUAAAUAUUAUUACACUACAGCAAAUGCUUUCUGAGCUUUGUACAUGUACACACUUUAGCAGAGGGGUAUUGCACAAAACCAAGAUAAGGGAUUAACCCGGGAUAUGUUGGUUAUCCUGGAUGAAUUUAGCCUCAAGUCGGCUGCAUGAAAGCAGGUUAAACUUAUCCCGGCCAGGUUACUAUGGUGAUUUAUUCUCUGCAGUUAGCCUGCUCCAGACCAGGCUAACAGCCAGGCUAACAUUAAUCCUAGUGAUUCACCUGUAUUUCCACCAUCAAUCCAUUAAAAUAUUACAUAUUGUCAUUUCAUUUAAAUCUGUUGGCUGUUUGUAAUUGCAACAGUCUUUUUAUAUUGAUUCAAGUGGUAGUUUUAUUACUCAGGACAAGUGUUAUAUUGCUAUGCUAAUGAAGACUGCUUGUCAAACUGCAUAAAUAUUUGUUUAUUGCAGUAAUUGAGAUUACAAAACACAGCUGAUGAAGUUGCAAAGGUGUUUUCAAUGAAAUCUGUGACAAGGGCAAAAUAGUAUAUAUAUUAUGGCAUGCCGUUCAGGAAAUGAAUCUUUGAAUAUAUAAAAUUAAUCUUUGAAUAUAUUGAAUGAAACUUUUAACAUAUUGAAUGAAACUUUGAAUAUAUAGAAUGAAACUUGACUGGUCAUCAAGGCACUGCUGCCAUCUUGUAGAAGUGAGAAUGAGUCAGUCAGGAACCUUGUGGCAGCAAUACUGAUCAAUGAGGACAUUAUUAACUCAUUGGCAAGUGCUUGUACGGGCCAAAAUCCUUCCCAUAGUACCCGUGCCCAAUACCGUUCUCCUGACGAAGAAGUUCCCUUUUUAAUGGUGGCAGGCCGACUACAACAGGCCUCAGGCUAAAUCCUGACAGAAAAAGCAAAAAAGUUUUCCAGUUUAAGAAAGUAUUGUAAUAUUUCAACUGAUGCCAUUUUGUAAAACCAGCUAAUUCAGAAGGCUAUCACUUUGAUGAAAAGGAUACAACUAGGUUUUCAAUUUCAUUCAGUAUUCUCACAUUUUUAUCAGUAUAUCCAAGAUUCAUUCCAUAUAUUCAAAGAUUCAUUCUAUAUAUUCAAGAUUCAUUUCCUAAACGGCAUGCCAUAAUAUAUGUAUACACACACACACACCAUAUAUAUAUAUAUAUAUAUAUAUAUACAUAUUAUUCACACCUGUUCCCUCUUCAUAAUGACUUGCCCUUUUUUGCAAUACCCCUCUGGUUUGUUCACAAUGAAUCCUUAAUUCACCGUCUGAAAUGUACAAAUAUAGAACUAAUAAAACCUUUAUUUUAACCAGAAACAAUCACUAUCACUCUCCACCAGAAUCUGUUCAUAAAAACACUGAUUUUACCUUCAGAUCAUCAUAACUUCAUUAAAGUGGACAGAAACAGAAUCAAACUCAUUAAAAGCGUCUCUGUUAGUGUUUCCAACAAUCACCAACUCUGGUUUGGUGGAAAUAAAUCCUUAAUUCACCGACGUAGAUGAUAAAAACAGCAGUUUCAGUCGGAGCAGACCGGCUAUGGAAACAAACCACAGAGAGGCUGCGAUACAACACAGGCAGAGGGAGAGAGACA
rnacentral:lncRNA from 15 species